ACCGGAAGCUCAAGUGGUGGCCAUUAUUAUUGGGCCUAACGCGUUCGUAGCCGGUUUGAUAAGUCUCUGGUGAAAUCCCGCAGCUUAACUGUGGGACUUGCUGGAGAUACUAUCAGACUUGAGGUCGGGAGAGGUUAGGGGUACUCCCAGGGUAGAGGUGAAAUCCUAUAAUCCUGGGAGGACCACCUGUGGCGAAGGCGUCUCACCAGGACGGCUCCGACAGUGAGGAACGAAAGCUGGGGGAGCAAACCG
rnacentral:rRNA from 1 species